rnacentral:rRNA from 1 species
AUUGAACGCUGGCGGCAUGCCUUACACAUGCAAGUCGAACGGUAGCAGUCCUAGCUUGCUAGGAGCUGACGAGUGGCGGACGGGUGAGUAACGCGUAGGAAUCUACCCUAAAGAAAGGGACAACCCUAGGAAACUGGGGCUAAUACCUUAUAAAUCUGAGGAAGAAAGCUGGGGACUGUAAAAGGCCUGGCGCUUUAGGAUGAGCCUGCGUUAGAUUAGCUAGUUGGUGGGGUAAAGGCCUACCAAGGCGACGAUCUAUAGCUGGUCUGAGAGGAUGAUCAGCCACACUGGGACUGGGACACGGCCCAGACUCCUACGGGAGGCAGCAGUGGGGAAUAUUGGACAAUGGGGGAAACCCUGAUCCAGCGAUGCCGCGUGUGUGAAGAAGGCCUUCGGGUUGUAAAGCACUUUCGGUAGUGAGGAAAGCCAUUAGAUUAAGAGUUAAGUGGUUUGACGCUAGCUACAGAAGCAGCACCGGCUAACUCUGUGCCAGCCGCCGCGGUAAGAC